UCGAGGAUUAAACUUGAAAUAGUAUUAAAACAAACAUUGGAAAAGCUGAGCAACAAGCAAAACAGUAGUUAAAGACAGAGGAACACGAAGGGCAAAUUGGGAAUUUUAUCUGUGGAAUAAAAACAAAAAUAAAGCUGUGCUGAACAUGUACAUGUUAUAGAAAGUUAAAUGCGGGGAUUAUAAAAAAAAUAACAACGUCAAUCGUGCUAAUGUGAAGUAAACUGUGUAAUCAACUGUUGAAAUAGUGAAUGACCUGUUGAUUCGAAAGACAAAUGUGAACCUAAAGGUGAAGAAUCGUGAUCAAAACUGAAAAAAUAUGAGAAUGUACACUUAGUCUAAUGUUGAUUGGAAUUGAACAACAUUUCAUUUCGAAUUCCGUUUUUCAUUUCGAUAACAAUGACGAAUCUGGCUGAAUCGUGAUCAAAACUGAAAAAAAAAUUCAGAGAAUGUACACUUAAUUGGAACAGAACAAUAUAUUUCGAAUUUCGUUUUACUUUUCGAUAACAAUGACGACUCAGGCUGGAAUUCAGGCUCCAAAGGAGAACCGAGAUCCCAAUGAUAUUAAUGAUCAUCUUCAGAUGAAAUUUAAUCAAGUAUUUGGCGAACCAGAUAAUAACCAUUCUUUCGGAAUAGUUUGGGAAUGUUCAGAAACCUGUUAUUCAUGUUGGCAUGGUUUGUGUUAUGGAUUGGCAUCAUGUCUUUGUAGUGUGUGGAUUGUUAUAUAUUGGGGUUUUAUUUUUGGAUGUUUAGCGUUUGACCAUAUUUGGAUAUGUACGCCAUUUUGGAAAUUAUUCACAAUGAUCAUGCAAAUCUGUCGUCCAUUGAAACCGUGUAUAGAUUGUUGUGUACGACCUUGUACAGGCGCAUGUGCUCACUUUUUUAUUCUUUUUGCUGAGCCUGGGACAGAUAUUGACAGAUGGAAUAAACCAGUGAUAAAAACGCCUGUUCGACGAGUAAGAAUCAAUAGAGAUUCGCCGGAACCUGUUAAAAGGACUCUUGUACCUGAGGAUGAUCUAUUCUUAGGACAGAAGACCCAAAUGGCCCGCUCAGUCCAAAGGCAAAUGAUGCUGUAACGAAAACAGUCUGCUAGUUGCAACGUACCUGUAAGGUUAUGAUUGAUCAGUGCUUAUAAACUAGAUAUUUACAGUACUCUUAACUGUUUUAUUUAUAAAUAACGUUAUUAUUAAUAAAUAAAUAAAUUCUUAUUUAUUUAUGCUAUUUGUGAGGUUGACCAUGCAGAUAUGUUUAAAACGAACGUUGGAAAACACAAUCAUGACUGUAUUUUAGUCAUUCAAAUAUCACACCUUAAUACGGGCUAUCAUUUCGACAGAUAUUGGCAAUAGGAUCUGCGUUUCCGAUUGCUAACUUGUAAAGCAGAGUUUUGUCUGAUGUUCCGGUUGCAAUUGCAAUAUAAUGGAUUUUGCAAUCGUGAACAGCAGAGUUUGAUUUGUUUUACCUAUUGUAUUUGCAAUACUGAUAGCCUGUUAUAGAGUAUGAAUAUAAAACAUGGAGUGAUAUUA